rnacentral:rRNA from 1 species
GGUUGCGAUCAUACCAGCACUAAUGCACCGGAUCCCAACAGAACUCCGCAGUUAAGCGUGCAUGGGCGAGAGUAGUACUAGGAUGGUGACCCCCUGGGAAGUCCUCGUGUUGCAACCCUC